GGAUACUCCUUUGUGGGUGCAAAUAUAUAGAAAGUUAAAAGGUAAAGUUACAAAUAAAAAGGAUAAACGAAAAAAAGAAGAAAAAUAUUACGCCUCUCUCAAUUCCUUAAACCUACAAAAUUCAGACUCCAAACCCUUUUCCCCCAAAACUAUACGCUCCAUCUCCCCCAAUCCUUGCCCACUCUAACCAACCAUCCCUUGAACCCUUGUCCCUCCUGCUCUUGAAAAACAUAAUCGCCAAGGGAGCAAAUGAGUUGGGGAGGCACAAUUUUCCCCCAAAUUUGAUGAUCAGUUUAGUGGAUAUAGGGCACUUGUGUUAUGGGUAUCAAUGUAGAAACAAACAAGUGUAGUAACCAUAAGUUACAAAAUUAAGGAUUUACAAAACUUCAGACUUGGAAACACCUCGUUAUCAGAUACUAAGAAGAAUGCAGCUUAUGAGGUUAGAGUCUAUGACUCGUUCAUAUAUAAUUGUAGAAGCAGAAGGUGGCAAUCCUGCAAGAUUAGGAGGGUAACAUGACAAUCUUAUUUACUGCGCCCUUCUUCUUGAUAUCCACAAGAACAACAAUUUCUUUCAUACAUUUGGUACAAAUACAAUCAACUAAUGUCUCUCAACUCGCCAUCGGAACUUGGUUUUAUAAAAGCAUUAGAGCACUUUUGAGUUUUCACUUCUCUUCACUGUCUGCUGAUGGUUACCAUCACUAUCCAUUCUCACGUUAGCUUGUUUUUUUAAAAAAUUUUAUUAUUCGUACUGUAAAAGAGUUAUGUAUGAAAUUAUUCUCUCUUGUAAAA